AGAGUUUGAUCAUGGCUCAGAACGAACGCUGGCGGCAGGCUUAACACAUGCAAGUCGAACGAUGUAGCAAUACAUAGUGGCGCACGGGUGAGUAACGCGUGGGAAUAUACCUUAUAGUGGGGAAUAACUUUGGGAAACUAAAGCUAAUACCGCAUACGCCCGAGAGGGGAAAGAUUUAUCGCUAUAAGAUUAGCCCGCGUGAGAUUAGGUAGUUGGUGGGGUAAUGGCCUACCAAGCCUACGAUCUCUAGCUGGUCUGAGAGGAUGAUCAGCCACACUGGAACUGAGACACGGUCCAGACUCCUACGGGAGGCAGCAGUGGGGAAUAUUGGGCAAUGGAGGAAACUCUGACCCAGCCAUGCCGCGUGAAUGAUGAAGGCCUUAGGGUUGUAAAGUUCUUUCGCCGAUGAAGAUAAUGACGGUAGUCGGAGAGGAAGCCCCGGCUAACUUCGUGCCAGCAGCCGCGGUAAUACGAAGGGUCCGAGCGUUGUCCGGAAUUACUGGGCGUAAAGAGCUCGUAGGUGGUUUGUCGCGUUGUUCGUGAAAACUCACAGCUUAACUGUGGGCGUGCGGGCGAUACGGGCAGACUUGAGUACUGCAGGGGAGACUGGAAUUCCUGGUGUAGCGGUGGAAUGCGCAGAUAUCAGGAGGAACACCGGUGGCGAAGGCGGGUCUCUGGGCAGUAACUGACGCUGAGGAGCGAAAGUGUGGGGAGCGAACAGGAUUAGAUACCCUGGUAGUCCAA
rnacentral:rRNA from 1 species